GACGAACGCUGGCGGCGUGCCUAAUACAUGCAAGUAGGACGCACAGUCUAUACCGUAGCUUGCUACACCAUAGGCUGUGAGUUGCGAACGGGUGAGUAACGCGUAGGUAACCUGCCUAUUAGAGGGGGAUAACUAUUGGAAACGAUAGCUAAUACCGCAUAACAGUAUGUAACACAUGUUAGAUGCUUGAAAGAUGCAAUUGCAUCGCUAGUAGAUGGACCUGCGUUGUAUUAGCUAGUAGGUAGGGUAAUGGCCUACCUAGGCGACGAUACAUAGCCGACCUGAGAGGGUGAUCGGCCACACUGAGACUGAGACACGGCCCAGACUCCUACGGGAGGCAGCAGUAGGGAAUCUUCGGCAAUGGGGGGAACCCUGACCGAGCAACGCCGCGUGAGUGAAGAAGGUUUUCGGAUCGUAAAGCUCUGUUGUUAAGGAAGAACGAGUGUGAGAAUGGAAAGUUCAUACUGUGACGGUACUUAACCAGAAAGGGACGGCUAACUACGUG
rnacentral:rRNA from 1 species